GUCCCCAUAGUUCAAAUGGAUAGAACGUGGCUUUCCUAAAGCUAAGAUUCAGGUUCAAUUCCUGAUGGGGGCACCA
rnacentral:tRNA from 1 species